GUAGGGGGCGAGCGUUGUCCGGAAUUAUUGGGCGUAAAGAGCUCGUAGGCGGCUUAGUAAGUCGGCGGUGAAAUACCGAGGCUCAACCUCGGCACUGCCGUCGAUACUGCUAUGGCUAGAGUUUGGUAGAGGAGAACGGAAUUCCCGGUGUAGCGGUGGAAUGCGCAGAUAUCGGGAGGAACACCCGUAGCGAAGGCGGUUCUCUGGGCCAAUACUGACGCUGAGGAGCGAAAGCGUGGGGAGCAAACAGGAUUAGAUACCCUGGUAGUCCACGCUGUAAACGUUGGGCACUAGGUGUGGCGACCCGAUCAACGGUUGCCGUGCCGAAGCUAACGCAUUAAAUGCCCCGCCUGGGGAGUACGGCCGCAAGGCUA
rnacentral:rRNA from 1 species